GGGAAAUUGAGACUCAGCUAUAGGUAGUAACUUAGAGAAGAUUAUUCUGCCGUGUGGACAACUUGGAAUAUGAAAGCAGAUCCCACAUCGUACCCACUACAUGUCUACAUCUGAUUGCAAGUUUCAGAUACAAUAAACAAGCAAGUUUUUCACAGUAUGAUCCAUCCAUUUUGCUGUAUUGUUUUGGAGAUAGGUAUUGCUUUCCUCCCAUGUAAGUCCCGUUACAUGCUUUCAGUGUCCUGUGGUUGGAUUGCAGACAUGUUCCACACUGUGAAGACUAAAGUAACACAACCUUUACUAUUUUUCUGAUGUUAACUUAUGUGCUGGUGUAAAGAAGAAUCUUUUUCCUUUCUCAAGACCUGCCUCUUGUGGGAGUGAAGAAGAUAGGGGAAAAUUCCACAGAUCACUUUCAUUCUACCCUGUAUCUUCUCUAGACCUACUCAUCAUCCUAAACUUUGUGCUAUAUUGGAUUGAGUUUCAUCAUGACAACGCAUGCCAAUGCUGGCCAAACAAUGACAAUGUUUUAUACUUAAUAAAAUUCAACAUCCGAUUAAA
rnacentral:lncRNA from 1 species